rnacentral:rRNA from 1 species
UCCAGACUCCUACGGGAGGCAGCAGUGGGGAAUAUUGCACAAUGGGGGGAACCCUGAUGCAGCGACGCCGCGUGAGUGAAGAAGUAUUUCGGUAUGUAAAGCUCUAUCAGCAGGGAAGAAAAUGACGGUACCUGACUAAGAAGCCCCGGCUAACUACGUGCCAGCAGCCGCGGUAAUACGUAGGGGGCAAGCGUUAACCGGAUUUACUGGGUGUAAAGGGAGCGCAGACGGCUGUGCAAGUCUGGAGUGAAAGGCGGGGGCCCAACCCCCGGACUGCUCUGGAAACUGUAAAGCUGGAGUGCAGGAGAGGGAAGCGGAAUUCCUAGUGUAGCGGUGAAAUGCGUAGAUAUUAGGAGGAACACCAGUGGCGAAGGCGGCUUACUGGACUGCAACUGACGUUGAGGCUCGAAAGCGUGGGGAGCAAACAGGAUUAGAUUCCCUUGUAAG